AUUGAACGCUGGCGGCAGGCCUAACACAUGCAAGUCGAACGGUAACAGGGAGAAGCUUGCUUCUUUGCUGACGAGUGGCGGACGGGUGAGUAAUGUCUGGGAAACUGCCUGAGGGAGGGGGAUAACUACUGGAAACGGUAGCUAAUACCGCAUAACGUCGCAAGACCAAAGAGGGGGACCUUCGGGCCUCUUGCCAUCGGAUGUGCCCAGAUGGGAUUAGCUAGUAGGUGGGGUAACGGCUCACCUAGGCGACGAUCCCUAGCUGGUCUGAGAGGAUGACCAGCCACACUGGAACUGAGACACGGUCCAGACUCCUACGGGAGGCAGCAGUGGGGAAUAUUGCACAAUGGGCGCAAGCCUGAUGCAGCCAUGCCGCGUGUAUGAAGAAGGCCUUCGGGUUGUAAAGUACUUUCAGCGGGGAGGAAGGGAGUAAAGUUAAUACCUUUGCUCAUUGACGUUACCCGCAGAAGAAGCACCGGCUAACUCCGU
rnacentral:rRNA from 1 species